rnacentral:rRNA from 1 species
UACAAAGGUCUCGAGCGUUAGGCGGAAUCACUGGGCUUAAAGCGUGUGUAGGCGGAUUGGUAAGUACCUUGUGAAAUCCCACAGCUUAACUGUGGAACUGCUUGGUAUACUGCCUGUCUUGAGCCACUUAGGGGCUACCGGAACAAAUGGUGGAGCGGUGAAAUGCGUAGAUAUCAUUUGGAACGCCAAUGGUGAAAACAGGUAGCUGGGAGUGUGCUGACGCUGAGACACGAAAGCCAGGGGAGCAAACGGGAUUAGAUACCCUGGUAGU